CCUACGGGAGGCAGCAGUGGGGAAUAUUGCACAAUGGGCGCGAGCCUGAUGCAGCCAUGCCGCGUGUGUGAAGAAGGCCUUCGGGUUGUAAAGCACUUUCAGCGGGGAGGAAGGCGUUAAGGUUAAUAACCUUGGCGAUUGACGUUACCCGCAGAAGAAGCACCGGCUAACUCCGUGCCAGCAGCCGCGGUAAUACGGAGGGUGCAAGCGUUAAUCGGAAUUACUGGGCGUAAAGCGCACGCAGGCGGUCUGUCAAGUCGGAUGUGAAAUCCCCGGGCUCAACCUGGGAACUGCAUUCGAAACUGGCAGGCUAGAGUCUUGUAGAGGGGGGUAGAAUUCCAGGUGUAGCGGUGAAAUGCGUAGAGAUCUGGAGGAAUACCGGUGGCGAAGGCGGCCCCCUGGACAAAGACUGACGCUCAGGUGCGAAAGCGUGGGGAGCAAACAGGAUUAGAUACCCUUGUAGUC
rnacentral:rRNA from 1 species